rnacentral:rRNA from 1 species
ACUACGGGAGGCAGCAGUGGGGAAUAUUGCGCAAUGGGCGAAAGCCUGACGCAGCGACGCCGCGUGAGGGAUGAAGGUCUUCGGAUCGUAAACCUCUGUCAGCAGGGAAGAACGGUCACUGUGCUAAUCAGCAGUGAAUUGACGGUACCUGCAAAGGAAGCACCGGCCAACGCCGUGCCAGCAGCCGCGGUAAUACGGAGGGUGCGAGCGUUAAUCGGAAUUACUGGGCGUAAAGCGCUCGUAGGCGGUAUGUCAAGUCAAGGGUGAAAUCCCCGCGCUCAACGUGGGAACUGCCUUUGAAACUGGCAACCUGGAUUGUGUGAGCGGCUAGUGUAAUUCCCGGUGUAGCUGUGAAAUCCGUAGAUAUCUGGAGGAACAUCAGUGGCGACGGCGACUAUCUGGCACAUAACUGACGCUGAGGAGCGACAGCGUGGGUAGCAAACAGGAUUAGCUACCCGUGUAGUC